GCGGGUAUAGUUUAGUGGUAAAACCUCAGCCUUCCAAGCUGAUGAUGGGGGUUCGAUUCCCCCUACCCGCUCCA
rnacentral:tRNA from 1 species